rnacentral:rRNA from 1 species
GAUGAACGCUGGCGGCGUACCUAAUACAUGCAAGUCGAGCGAAUGGAUUAAGAGCUUGCUCUUAUGAAGUUAGCGGCGGACGGGUGAGUAACACGUGGGUAACCUGCCCAUAAGACUGGGAUAACUCCGGGAAACCGGGGCUAAUACCGGAUAACAUUUUGAACAGCAUGGGUCGAAAUUGAAAGGCGGCUUCGGAUGUCAAUAUGGAUGGACCCGCGUCGCAUUAGCUAGUUGGUGAGGUAACGGCUCACCAAGGCAACGAUGCGUAGCCGACCUGAGAGGGUGAUCGGCCACACUGGGACUGAGACACGGCCCAGACUCCUACGGGAGGCAGCAGUAGGGAAUCUUCCGCAAUGGACGAAAGUCUGACGGAGCAAUGCCGCGUGAGUGAUGAAGGCUUUCGGGUCGUAAAACUCUGUUGUUAGGGAAGAACAAGUGCUGGUUGAAUAAGCUGGCACCUUGACGGUACCUAACCAGAAAGCCACGGCUAACUACGUGCCAGCCGCCGCCGUAA